rnacentral:rRNA from 1 species
UGGCGGCGUGCUAACACAUGCAAGUCGCACGAGAAAGUGGAGCAAUCCAUGAGUAAAGUGGCGAACGGGUGAGUAACACGUGACUACCUGCCCUCGAGUGGGGAAUAACUUCGGGAAACCGAGGCUAAUACCGCAUAACAUCGAGAGAUCAAAGCAGCAAUGCGCUUGAGGAGGGGGUCGCGCCUGAUUAGCUAGUUGGUAGGGUAACGGCCUACCAAGGCGAUGAUCAGUAGCCGGCCUGAGAGGGCGCACGGCCACACUGGAACUGAAACACGGUCCAGACUCCUACGGGAGGCAGCAGUGGGGAAUUUUGCGCAAUGGGGGAAACCCUGACGCAGCAACGCCGCGUGGAGGAUGAAGUCCCUUGGGACGUAAACUCCUUUCGAUCGGGACGAUUAUGACGGUACCGGAAGAAGAAGCCCCGGCUAACUUCGUGCCAGCAGCCGCGGUAAUACGAGGGGGGCAAGCGUGGUUCGGAAUUAUUGGGCGUAAAGGGCGCGUANGCGGUGCGGUAAGUCUGAUGUGAAACCUCCGGGCUCAACUCGGAGCCUGCAUCANAAACUGCCGUGCUGGAGUGUGGGAGAGGUGCGU